UACAGAGACUGCGAGCGUUAUUCGGAUUCACUGGGCGUAAAGGGUGCGCAGGCGGCCGUGUGUGUGAGGCGUGAAAGCCCGGGGCUUAACCCCGGAAUUGCACCUCAAACUACACGGCUAGAGCAUUGGAGAGGGUAGCAGGAAUUCAUGGUGUAGCAGUGAAAUGCGUAGAUAUCAUGAGGAAUACCAGAGGCGAAGGCGGCUACCUGGACAAUUGCUGACGCUCAGGCACGAAAGCGUGGGGAGCAAAAGGG
rnacentral:rRNA from 1 species